CGGUGGUGUACAACGUUCAUAUGAUGACAUGAAACGUGAGGGGCGGGGGCACCAUCGGACACGACAACGGAGCCGUCGGCGCUGGCUGGUACUGAAAAAAGGCUGAUGAGUUCCUGAUCGAGGCGGUGCCAUUGGGCCUGGUGUGCAGGGUGCGUAUCGGCCAUGAUGGGUAGGGCGGAGGUUGCGGCUGGUUCCUGGAUAAGGUGUUGGUCAGAGAGGAGGGCCAACCAGAGUCAGUGGCCAUAGAGUUCCCCUGUAACAGGAAAGUCAACCAACCAGCCAAUCACAUGAUAUCUUUAAUAACAUAAUGGGAGCAUGGCCAACUAACUAACUAACUAACUUAAAAUGAUUAGUGCUGAAGACAUGCAAUACAAUACAAUACAUGGACUAGUGCUAUGCGACAGGGACUUUUUUUCCCUGAUAAUGAAUUUCAUCUAAUCACUCACUUCCCUCACUAGUAAAAGCACCAAACAGCCAAUCACACAGUGUUUCACUAACAGCCAUACUGCCUCAGGGAAGACAGUCAUCCGGACCGACCACGCCCAGUCUGUCUCUAAUGGCCGUUCUCUAAUGGACACGCUUAAGCAGUUAGCCAGCUGAUGGACCAGCAUCCCAUUACAAUUUACAAUUGUGUGUGUGUGUGUGUGUGUGUGUGUGUGUGUGUGUGUGUGUGUGUGUGUAGAAAUACAAGUAAAAGGCCUAAGAGGAGAAACCAUGCCUCAUAUUAUUUUUAGAUGUCAACUACCAUAUCUUGGUGGACAGGCAGCAUCAAAGGGGCCAGCUCAGACUCCAAGGUGUUUGUCAAGCUGUACGGGAAGAAGGGCGUCACCACAAGGAUCCUCCUGGUGGUCUCCGACAACGACCUGAUGAUAAACUACGAGAUCACAGCGGUUACGGGGAACAUGCACAAAGGUGGCACCAACGUCAAUGUGUUCUGUCAGAUCUAUGGAGAGGACGGCAAGACUGAGCUCAUCUGCCUCGAGAGCCGCUCCUACAACUUUGAGCGCGUGACCACAGAGAUAUUUAAAGUCAGACACGUCGAGGCACUGAAUGUGGGCAAAUUAUUCAAGAUCUGCAUCGGGUAG
rnacentral:lncRNA from 8 species